GGGACUCAGUGGAAGAGUGUCUGCUUGGCUUGCAGAAGUCAUAGGUUCAACCCCUGGCAUCUCCA
rnacentral:tRNA from 1 species